GAAGGAGGGCAAAAGAGUCAGGAACUGAAAAAGUGAGGAGAAAAGCCGGGUGCCAAGUUGGGGGUGGGGAUAAUGGGAGAGGAAGAGUCGAGAUUCCGGGCAGAGGCAGAGCCAGAUUGGGGUUUGUGGGCACCAGACGGUCCCUGAGAUAUGAAAAGGGGAGGUAAGGAAAAGCAGGAGAGCGAGGAGCCGGAGGAGCCGGGGCCGAGAAGUGAGAGGGUUCAGUCGAGACUGCUUCCCCGGUACCCAGGGGAGAUAAAUGGGAAGAGAGAAGCAGCAGGCGAGGGGCGAAGAGGUCGGACGAGAUGUGAGGAGGUGAGGCUAGAUGAGGAGGACAGAGGUCCAGGGGAGAAGGGGAGACGGGGAAACGGGCAAGGGCGCCGGCGCCUCUGCGCGCGGGGCCUCGGCAGGUCCCGGCUGCCUUCCCAGCGGCGCUCGGCCCCGCCCCUCAGCCCGGCCCCUACCCCACUUGCCUAUCCCGCCCCCGAGGCGGGUCAGGGGAAAUACCCUCCUCGGGGACUUUUGGUACCCGAGCAAGUGUGGCAGCCUAUGCAUUCCCAGAACCCUGGCGUCCACCCGCGUCCAGUCCCUACAAUCUCGCCGGCCUCUCCACCAGAUGCGCCCCCAGAACACGGGCGCGACGAGGACCCGCAUCGCGCCUCUGAUGUCCCCCAACCAGGGACCCGGCUCUCAGGGGACCUUGACCCAGUGGGACGUGCACCCGAGAG
rnacentral:lncRNA from 1 species